rnacentral:rRNA from 1 species
UACGUAGGGUGCAAGCGUUGUCCGGAAUUAUUGGGCGUAAAGAGCUCGUAGGCGGUCUGUCGCGUCGGAUGUGAAAAUCCAGGGCUCAACCCUGGACCUGCAUUCGAUACGGGCAGACUAGAGUUCGGUAGGGGAGACUGGAAUUCCUGGUGUAGCGGUGAAAUGCGCAGAUAUCUGGAGGAACACCGGUGGCGAAGGCGGCAUCCUGGACCGGCAUUGACGCUGAGGCGCGAAAGCCAGGGGAGCAAACGGG